CGGGGAGAAGCCUGAUGCCGGGUGGAGGAGGACCCAGAAUGAGAGGGCAGGUCCAGGGAGUCCCUGCUGCCCAGGGGAUCAGGGAGACCUUCGGUGCUCUCCCAUCUGCUUCUGGGGGCUUGUCUCGGAGCCGUCACCUCGGCCCCAUUCUUACUCUGCAACUCUCCAAAGUGUCUGAGGGACUCUGCUGCCUGUAGCCAGAUGGGUGCCAAGGAUGACAGUCAGACCAGGGGAUGGUAGAGCCUCAAAACGCAAAAAGCCUGGUCUCUAAAUCACGGCAUUGGAGGAAAGCCACCCGCAAUCCAGGAAGAGCUGCUGGGAACUGGUACACGAGUGAGAAAGAAACACAAUAUAUUUGGGGGCUUCAUUGUUACAGCAACUGGCAUUGUUGUAAAGCAUGGCCCUUUCCGGACAUUCGGAGAAGGAUCCGGGAAAAGGAGACACAGGCCAGGAGUACACAAGGCCACGGCCAAGCAGAUUUUCAAGCACCUGUUCCAGAUCCUGAUGAGACAAGGUAGACCUGGUGUCUGCCCUCAUGGAGAGUGCAAUCCAAUGGGGACAACUAAACAAUGCCACAAUCGUGUGGGAUAAAGCAUCAUGUGGACAGAAAAAGAGAAUUCUAAAGACCAUACGAUGUCUGACAUCACAACAGAUUGAAUGCAGAAGAUGUAUGAAUCCAGGAGCCUUUGAUUAAACUAGACAUUAAAGAGAAUUGCAAAAAUAUAAAAAAGCAAGCUCACUUUUCUCAAUAAAGAU